AUUGAACGCUGGCGGCAGGCUUAACACAUGCAAGUCGAGCGGAGCGAGGGUGCUUGCACCUUAGCUUAGCGGCGGACGGGUGAGUAAUGCUUAGGAAUCUGCCUAUUAGUGGGGGACAACAUUCCGAAAGGAAUGCUAAUACCGCAUACGCCCUACGGGGGAAAGCAGGGGAUCUUCGGACCUUGCGCUAAUAGAUGAGCCUAAGUCGGAUUAGCUAGUUGGUGGGGUAAAGGCCUACCAGGGCGACGAUCUGUAGCGGGUCUGAGAGGAUGAUCCGCCACACUGGGACUGAGACACGGCCCAGACUCCUACGGGAGGCAGCAGUGGGGAAUAUUGGACAAUGGGCGGAAGCCUGAUCCAGCCAUGCCGCGUGUGUGAAGAAGGCCUUUUGGUUGUAAAGCACUUUAAGCGAGGAGGAGGAGCUCUAGGUUAAUACCCUAGAUGCUUGGACGUUACUCGCAGAAUAAGCACCGGCUAACUCUGUGCCAGCAGCCGCGGUAAUAC
rnacentral:rRNA from 1 species